ensembl:snRNA U7 U7 small nuclear RNA
AAAUGUUUUUUUUUUUGUAUUUCUCCAGUAGGUUUUCUCAAGGAGAAAGCCUGC